UACGUAGGGUGCGAGCGUUAAUCGGAAUUACUGGGCGUAAAGCGUGCGCAGGCGGUUUUGUAAGCCAGAUGUGAAAGCCCCGGGCUUAACCUGGGAAUGGCAUUUGGGACUGCAAGGCUCGAGUGCGGCAGAGGAGACUGGAAUUCCUGGUGUAGCAGUGAAAUGCGUAGAUAUCAGGAGGAAUACCGAUGGCGAAGGCGGCUCUCUAUCUCGAUUCUGACGCUGAGGCGCGAAAGCUAGGGGAGCAAACGGG
rnacentral:rRNA from 1 species